ensembl:lncRNA PDGFA-DT PDGFA divergent transcript
ACUCACCUGGCGGCUGCCACGCGCCCCCGCCCAGGAUCCGAGGCCUGGGGCAUCUGAAUGAGGACCCUCCACCCACAUUUCCACUUGGGAGCGAGCUCCAGUCGGGGAAAGGGCCUGCAGCCCGCCUCGUCCCCACCCUGGGACCCCGCGCCCCCCAGUCCCCCACUCCCGCGCCGAAGGCAGGGCCGCGCCCUGAGCCGGGAAGUCGAGGGGAUGGAAGGGAAAGGAGCCACCGGUGAGGGUCCCCCGGGUUCUGAGCCUCCCGCGUCGGGAUCCGUGGGGCGCACAGAGCGCCACCUCCGGCCGAGGCGCAGCUCAGAGCGCGAUGCGGGGGAGGAACGCGCGCGGAGGCCGAGGUCUGAGCGUGGCUAGACGGCUCCCACGCCGAGAAAGGGCGGGUGCGCCUGGGCUGGAUGGAUUUCGCCUCCCUAGACCAGGAGGGAUUGGACCCUGACUACAGGUCCAGGUGCUCGUCAGUGCCCUGCCAGGGGGUCUACGCGUCCUGGUACCGGGUCCAGCGGGGUGGCGUGCUGUGCAGACCCCGAGGCUAGACGGCCUAGGCCCCUGGAGCCCAGGAGACGCUUCCUUGGGUGAGCAGCGGAGAAUCCCGCCCGGCCCAGCCGUCACCCCCAACCCUGUCGAUUAAACCCCUGCCCCCGUCGCGGUCGCCCUCCCUCCAGACAAAGGCCGUUAAGGCGCAGCCCCGCGGGCGGUCUUUCAUCCCCAGCUAGGCCAGCUCUAGCAUUUCAAAGGCCGAAUCCGGAGAGCGCUUCGGGGGCUCUCCCCUUCCCCCAAAUAUUUGGGGAGCGACGCCUCUCCCUCCGCUCCCAGUGGGUCGCGUCUACACGCGCCCUUCCACACACCUGCAGGCCCCCUCCCCACGUCUCUCCCUUCCGUUGGCCGCAGCCCCACACCACGACCCCCGCGGUCAAGCAUGCCCUCUGGGUGGUCAGGACCAAGCGGGACCGGGACAGAACCAGGGGAGCCUUGGAAACGUGGAGGAGCCCCUUAAAGCCAGGCCUUGUCCCUCCAGGGGGAACUUGCGGCUUGGGAGGGGACACCCACUGCAUGGCUUCUGGAAAGAGCCGGACUCGCAGGGCCAGGACGCAGGCCGGACCCCGGCCUCAUUCUUCGGCCAGUUAUCCCGGAGUGGCGCGCAUCCUGUCUUCCUGGGCCUCGGACUGCUCGCGCGCAGAGGGGGCCCGAGGACACCUCUGUGGGGUUAGAGGACUCGGUAAGACGGUGUGGAAGGCAAGGAGGAAGGUCGCGUUGUAUUGGGGAUGGGGUACCCGUCCCUCCCAGCUUGAGGGAUCCUGGGGGUCCUCGCCGCCUCUGAGGGCCUAGAUGGCUGCUUCCCUCGGCUCCCCUGCCCGGCCUGGAGCUACGGGUGCGCCCAGCUAGAGUUUAGGGCCACCUGGGGACGUGCAAGGGGCGCUGGAGCGAGGCGGGGGCUGGGGCGGGGCGUGGGUGCUUCACCCGCGGGGGACGCAGAGCUUAGGCGAAAGCGGUGCAGGCAUCUCUCUAAUCGCCGGCCGCUAUUAAAAAUAAAACCGCGACCCGUCGCCAUGGCGACCACAACAACAGCGGCCGCGCGAGGGAGGCGAAAACUUGUGCAGCCGCGCGACAGCCGCCUUCUGGGGAGACUCGGGGCACGACGCACCCGGCGUGGGACUGGGACCCCCCUGCCCGGCCCCGCCACAUUCUCCGCCGGAUCCCCGGAAGACACAAGGAGACGUGGACCCCCACAGGCUUUUUUGGGGGGAUUGGGCGUUGAAACCGCAGGGCUGACUUAACCAAGAGGUCACCGACUUGGAUAAAAAACCCACGCCCGCGCGGACCCCCCUCCCCGGCCUUCGUUUCCAUUCAAACUCCCAGCGUCCUCAUUGCAGCCCCUGGGGAGGGGGACGGAGGGACGAGGUGGGUUUCAGGUGCUCGGCCCAGGAGGGGACGGUGCGACCCGGGCCCCGCCGGCGGGUUUUGCGCGCGGAGGCUGCGGCACCUGCCCCGCCCGCCCUGCCGCGAUCCUUGCAGACGGGGGCGGUCACAUGCUUCUUUCUGGCCAGGAAUCGAGUUUCACUUCCAGCCGCUAUUAGUCGGUUCACACAGUUCACUGCAAACAUUUGAUAAUGAGGCUAAAUAUACUCCCGCGUCGGAGGAGGCGUGGGCGUCCCCGCCCAGGCCCGGGAGACAGAGGCGCUGACCCCGGGACAGAGCCUGGCUUUGUGCGGGAGGCAGACGCGCCCCGCGCGCCGCCCCCGAAACAUUCGCACCCCAUGCUGAGGCGCGCGUCUGGGAGUCCGUGGGCGCCCCGAGGUGAGCCCGGGGCCCCUGGCGGAAGCAGCGGGGAGCUCCCGGCGGGUGCGGGGAGGUGCUGGUGGGAAGCAAGGUGCACCUGGCGGCCUGGGAUGUCCGGUCGCCCCCGGAGCCGGUGCAUCCGGCCUCUCCCGGCGCGCCCCGACGUGCCCGCGGGCUCAUAAUUACCGUGAGUCAGGUGCCCCAAAUAGGCCGAGCGAGGGGGGCCGUCGCGCAGCAGGGGCGGGUGGCCGGACGUCUGCCCGGGACUGGUUGCCUCCCGCCCCUCCCCAAGACCCUGGCACCCAGGGAGGGCGGGAAAGGCCUUGGCCAUUCCUCUGGGUAGGGGACUGGAGAGGGGAAGAAACUUUCGCCGAGUCCAGCGCUGCCCCCUCAUACCCAUCCCCACCCAGGCUGCGUGUCCGGGGCCCCUCCGGGGCUUGGCACCAGCAGGCACGCAGCGAUCGCCGUCGUUGUUAUUUAGUAGUAGUAGUAACGGCUGACAUUUACAGCGACGUCGAUGGCGCCAGGUGCCAAGCUCUUUCCUUGUAUAAUUUCAUGGACACUCACGCAUCAACUCUAAGCGAAGACUUGGAGCGGGGCUCAGCACCCCAGGGGUACCUCUGCAACCUCGAAAUGAAGUUGAAAAUAGCACAGGAGCCCACUAUCACUGUGUGAACAUUUUGUGAAUGAAGACAUGUAUGAAAGGAUGUUUGGAGGCUUCAAGAAACGAAAGCCGAGAGUCUAGCUAGACCAGAGCCAUCCAGCCCAGGAGCGAUGGCCACGUGUGGCCGCUGGACACGAGAGACGUGGCCAGUCCAAACUGUGCAGUGCGGGGCAGUGGAAGCCGUUGGAGGGCCUCAGGCAGGAACACAAGGUGUCGUGGCAGAAAGGAAGAAGGGGCCGGGCACGGUGGCCCACACCCGUCAUCCCAGCACUUUGGGAGGGAGGCCAAGGCAGGAGGAUCGCUUCAAUCCAGGAGUUCAAGAUCAGCCUGGGCAACACAGCAAGACCCCGUCUCUACUAAAACCCUAAAACUUAGCCAGGCUUGGUGGCAUGUGCCUAAGGUCCCAGGUCCUCGGGAGACUAAGGCAGGAGGAUUGCUUAAGCCCAAGAGUUUGAGGCUGCAGUGAACUAUUAUCACACCACUGCACUCAGCCUGGGUGACAGAGUGACUCUGUCUCAAAACUAAAUAAAUAAACAAUAAUUGUGUU